rnacentral:rRNA from 1 species
GAUGAACGCUGGCGGCGUGCUUAACACAUGCAAGUCGAACGAAGUGGCGAACGGGUGAGUAACGCGUAAUCAACCUGCCCUUCAGAGGGGGACAACAGUGGGCAACGACUGCUAAUACCGCAUAAUGACGGAGGGGAUUGCGUCUGAUUAGCGAGUUGGAGGGGUAACGGCCCACCAAGGCGAUGAUCAGUCGCCGGUCUGAUAGGAUGAACAGCCACAAUGGGACUGAGACACGGCCCAGACUCCUACGGGAGGCAGCAGUGGGGAAUAUUGGACAAUGGGCGAAAGCCUGAUCCAGCCAUGCCGCGUGUGUGAAGAAGGUCUUCGGAUUGUAAAGCACUUUAAGUUGGGAGGCGUUACCAACAGAAUAAGCACCGGCUAACUUCGUGCCAGCAGCCGCGGUAAUAC